GGAAAAAGCCCAGCACUGAAUCCCGCGGUUGUCACGGCCGCGGGAGAUGUGGUGUUCGGGAGGUUCCGCUUUCUCGUCGUCGCAUCUCCUGUCCAAGUUCGUCUUGAACGGGGCCGUUUUCCCGUAGAGGGUGCCAGGCCCGUAGCGACGGAGGGCGGCGGCGAGAGGGACUCUCCUCAGAGUCGGGUUGCUUGAGAGUGCAGCCCUAAGUGGGUGGUAAACUCCAUCUAAGGCUAAAUAUUACCGCGAGACCGAUAGCGAACAAGUACCG
rnacentral:rRNA from 1 species